AGGCAUUCAUCAUUAUAAAUUUCUCUCAGAACUGCUUUUGCUGCAUUCCAUAAGUUUUGCAUUUUCUGAGACUUGUUUUGUAACCUAACAUAUGAGUUGGAGAAUCUUCCAUGAGCACUUUAGAAGAAAGUAUAUUCUACUGCUGUUGGGUGAAAUGCUGUGGAGAAGUCUGUCAGAUUCUUUAAAGUACAGUUCAUGCCCAGCAUUUUCUUAUUGACUUUCUGUCUGGAUGGACACUUACUGCUAGAAGUCAGAAAGACAGCUUAUAGAGCAUUCGUAACACCUGAAAGAAGUGCAAAGGACCAGUGUCUCUGCUCCGAAGGCUGGGAGUCAUCCUUUUAUUACA